AAAAAGGACCUUUCUUUUGGUAGUUUCUGUAUUGGUUCCCUUUUCAAUGUAUUUAUCGCAGGCUACCAUCAAGGAUAUGACUGUUGUCAAGCUGAAAGAAUGUUCAAAUAAUUAGCUUUUUCAACAAAGAAAUGGACAAAAGCCCUAUUUUCACUACCAAGAAUCAGGGUAGACUUAAAUGCAUGAAGAAGGAGGGUGUGCUAGCUUUUACUCCUACAUUUCCAUGGCUGUGUAUAUGUGUGUGUGAUGCAUAGCUUUCUGAAGAGUUUCCACGGAUAGAGAAGGCUAUUCUCUUUAGGAAAUCCCUCUGUGUAAGGAGAGCAGAGUAAGGCCAAAUUCAGUUUCAGAUACAUUCCCAGCUGUCCCCCAGGUGGUGAGUAGGUCAAAGGCAAGAGGGUGGAACCAAACAUAGCUGUAUAUUUGAGCUUAAAGCUUGGACCACUAGCAAUCAACCCUUUGGAAGUUUACUGAGAUGUCCAAUAACGGAAAUGUUAUGAAAUCACAAGAUAAACGAAAGGUCUGCCUUCCUCUCCAGGAAGAUCUACAUCAAGAUGAGGCAACUUGGACCUCUAGUUGCAACUCCUAUCAUUCUGUACUCUUGGCUUGCUAGCUCUUCUUUCUAUUUCCAUGCUGAUUAGUAAAGAGAAGAUAUGUAAAGAGAAGAUAUGUAACACUAGAGUCUUCUGAGGUGCUAACAAAAAUUAGAGAGAAAGAGAUCUGAACUGAGGGGAAUGAUUUAUCCCAUUUAAAUUCAGCAGCAUGUUAUUUGGUUUUAAACUUAUAAUGAGAGGGGAUGGAAUAAGAGAAAAACAACAAGAACAACAACAACAACAACAACAACAAGAACAACAACAAGCAUCAGCAGCUCCAAACUGAACUAAUAAGUGGGGAACUAUACACCACACCUUGCUGAAUAUCCACCUUUAGAAGUAUUGUCUCUGGAACAACAAUAGUGCAUGUAGGAACUGUCAAUAAAUCUGGAAAG
rnacentral:lncRNA from 11 species